UCCAUGGUGGUUCAGAUGGUAAAGCGUCUGCCUGCAAUGCAGGAGACCCAGGUUCGAUUCCUGGGUCAGGAA
rnacentral:tRNA from 1 species